CUCAGAUCUCAGCCUCCUGAGUAGCUAGGAUUACAGGCUUUAGCCACCAGCACUGGCUCAACUCUGUCUUAUAGGGGUCCUGUUCCCUUGCAUUUUGCCCAAGAGUCAUAAUUAAAGAAAAUACAUCAUUGUCCAGCACUGGGUCCUAUCAUUCCCAAGAGAACCCAAGCCAAUCUUGUGUUUAAAGCUUACUCAGUGAAUGAAAUCAUGAAGGCUCCAUUUGUCAAAGUACUGCAUGGGGCUCUGUUACUUUUCAAGCUCCAAAUUCAUUGUCUGCCUUCAUUGCUUAGCCAUUCGUUCCCAGUGUGUUAGUGCUGUCUUCAGGCCCUGCUACCCAGCCCUUCUUCACACUAUUACAGCCUGGAGUGUGUGCUCUGUCGAUUUGUAGAAUUACUGCUCUGAUUUCCGCUUGGCUGCUUUGAGCUAAGUCCCCCUCCCUCCCUUCUAGCUGACUGUAAUCCUUGCUUUCUCUUAAAGCUCCUUUUCCAGAGAUUUAGGGGAAAACUUUCUCAAGGGCUGUGUUGGCAUCAAACUGUAGUUUGGUUAUAGCAUGUCCCGUAUGUAUAAAUAAUACCUGCAGUCAAUUGUAGCCAUUGCUACUUUAGGCCCCAGACAGAGGGGCCUGCCUGCCAGCCAGUUCUCCUU